rnacentral:rRNA from 1 species
GACGAACGCUGGCGGCGUGCUUAACACAUGCAAGUCGAACGGAAAGGCCCUGCUUUUGUGGGGUGCUCGAGUGGCGAACGGGUGAGUAACACGUGAGUAACCUGCCCUUGACUUUGGGAUAACUUCAGGAAACUGGGGCUAAUACCGGAUAGGAGCUCCUGCUGCAUGGUGGGGGGUGGAAAGUUUCGGCGGUUGGGGAUGGACUCGCGGCUUAUCAGCUUGUUGGUGGGGUAGUGGCUUACCAAGGCUUUGACGGGUAGCCGGCCUGAGAGGGUGACCGGCCACAUUGGGACUGAGAUACGGCCCAGACUCCUACGGGUGGCAGCAGUGGGGAAUAUUGCACAAUGGGCGGAAGCCUGAUGCAGCAACGCCGCGUGCGGGAUGACGGCCUUCGGGUUGUAAACCGCUUUCGCCUGUGACGAAGCGUGAGUGACGGUAAUGGGUAAAGAAGCACCGGGUAACUACGUG